rfam:Crassostrea gigas strain 05x7-T-G4-1.051#20 contig189, whole genome shotgun sequence.
CCAAUGUUGAUGGCCUCCUCCCUGUUGGACUCUGUCUGACCGUGGAGGAAGUUGUCUGUGUGGCGUAUGGGAGCUGAAUGUCUCCCUGGAGACUUGAGGUGUAUUCCCGUUCCACAUCAUUGGAGAUGAACUUUGUCCCCUGACCCCUAGGGGUUGGGUGUGGACAGGGCCCUGUAUAUUCCAUCACCUUCCCAGAUGUCACUCUGUGAUGAUGACUGGGGAGAAAAACCAUACAGGGUACAGUC